GAGUUUGAUCCUGGUUCAGAACGAACGCUGGCGGCAUGCCUAACACAUGCAAGUCGAACGGAUGUAGCAAUACAUUAGUGGCGCACGGGAUAGUAACGCGUGGGAAUCUGCCUCAUAGUCCGGAAUAACAUCGGGAAACUGGUGCUAAUACCGGAUACGCCCUUCGGGGGAAAGUUUUUCGCUAUGAGAGGAGCCCGCGUUGGAUUAGCUAGUUGGUGAGGUAAUGGCUCACCAAGGCGACGAUCCAUAGCUGGUCUGAGAGGACGAUCAGCAUCACUGGGACUGAGACACGGCCC
rnacentral:rRNA from 1 species